AUUGAACGCUGGCGGCAUGCUUUACACAUGCAAGUCGAACGGUAACAGGUUAAGCUGACGAGUGGCGAACGGGUGAGUAAUGCAUCGGAACGUGCCCGAUCGUGGGGGAUAACGCAGCGAAAGCUGCGCUAACACCGCAUACGAUCUGAGGAUGAACGCGGGGGACCGUAAGGCCUCGCGCGAUCGGAGCGGCCGAUGUCAGAUGAGGUGGUUGGUGGGGGAAAGGCCCACCAAGCCAACGAUCUGUAGCUGGUCUGAGAGGUAGACCAGCCACACUGGGAAUGAGACACGGGCCAGACUCCUACGGGAGGCAGCAGUGGGGAAGUUUGGACAAUGGGCGAAAGCCUGAUCCAGCAAUGACGCGUGCAGGAAGAAGGCCUUCGGGUUGUAACUGCUUUUGUACGGAGCGAAAAGGUCUCCUCUAAUACAGGGGGCUCAUGACGGUACCGUAAGAAUAAGCACCGGCUAACUACGUGCCAGCAGCCGCGGUAA
rnacentral:rRNA from 1 species